AAGGGCUCAAGUAUAUCUACAAAACUUGCAAAUAGACAAAUUGUCCACUUACAAGAUCAUUAAUGCAGAAUUUAGUUUAUUUAGAAUAAAAAUUAACGUACAUAAUAUAUGGGAUUCGAUCGAGUUGGUUACAGAUUACAACUUGACAGGAAUUUACGAAAACUUUUUACCGAUUUAUGGAUUAGGUGAAAUCGAUGCAAUCGCGAAAGGUCUAGAUAUAGAUGUGAUAGUGGGCCUUUCAAUAAAAUAUGGGGAUUUAUACGUACAAAGUUUCCAAUCAGCGAUCAAACUUGAAGAAUUCGACAUUAAAGUAACUGGAUUAUUUCACGACGAACAUAUUUCAAACACCAUAAGCACCAUCCUAUCGAAUAUUGUACCACAAUUGGUGGAUGAUUAUCAAGAAAAAUUAACCGAAAUAUUGAACUCUUUGGCUACAGAUGCCAUUAACGAUUU